GGUUAGUGGCGGACGGGUGAGUAACACGUGGGAACGUGCCUUUAGGUUCGGAAUAGCUCCUGGAAACGGGUGGUAAUGCCGAAUGUGCCCUUCGGGGGAAAGAUUUAUCGCCUUUAGAGCGGCCCGCGUCUGAUUAGCUUGUUGGUGAGGUAAUGGCUCACCAAGGCUACGAUCAGUAGCUGGUCUGAGAGGAUGACCAGCCACAUUGGGACUGAGACACGGCCCAAACUCCUACGGGAGGCAGCAGUGGGGAAUCUUGCGCAAUGGGCGAAAGCCUGACGCAGCCAUGCCGCGUGGAUGAUGAAGGUCUUAGGAUUGUAAAAUCCUUUCACCGGUGAAGAUAAUGACUGUAGCCGGAGAAGAAGCCCCGGCUAACUUCGUGCCAGCAGCCGCGGUAAUACGAAGGGGGCUAGCGUUGCUCGGAAUUACUGGGCGUAAAGGGAGCGUAGGCGGACAUUUAAGUCAGGGGUGAAAUCCCAGAGCUCAACUCUGGAACUGCCUUUGAUA
rnacentral:rRNA from 1 species